rnacentral:pre_miRNA from 1 species
GUCAGCUAUGUGGACUCUAGCUGCCAAAGGCGCUUCUCCUUCUGAACAGAGCGCUUUGCUCAGCCAGUGUAGACAUGGCCUGAU